UACUAGUUUCAAUGAAAACAGGAUUAAAAAUAGGAUUCUAGCUGACAAUUUGUGAUAUGAAACAGCCAAGAAUCCUCAACCCAUUAUCACACAUUAUGCCUAGCUCCCUGCGUCCUGCCGGCGGGGAGGCGCCGAAGUGCCCGGAGGGAGCCCAGCGUGCCGGCGCGGAGCCCCCCGGCGGGAGGAUGCGCUGAGCCGCCCCAGAGGAGGGGGCGCUGCUCCCGCUCGGCCAGAUGGUAUUAUAAUGGAAUGGCAGCUGAGAAGAUGAGACUAUGAGUGAAGAGUGUGUCUUGGAGAUUGCAUGCAGUUCAUUUUCCUGGGUCAAAAGUGGAUUGGUUUGAGAACAAUAAUUAUGAGGCUGACGUGUAUGUUCUCCUUCAUCUUGCUGUUUGGAGCAGCGGGACUUGUCGUCUUCAUUCAUCUGCAGGAUCCAGAAGACAUAGUUCAUCAGCAGACACCAGUUUUGCUCCAGUGCUUGCAAUGACAGCCCCGUGCUGAUGACUGUCUUUGGAAUCCCCUGGAUGCUUACUUAAAAACAAAACUCCAUUAAUAUCAUCAACUGACCCAGUGAAGUGUGAUCUGGAUUCCAGGUUUAUUAUUUGUUCAAAAAUAAUAAUUUUUGGACCUUUUACUCUUUGUUUUGCUGAGGGGAAAAGACAGAGACAGGACAGAGGAGAAUGAAAAUCUCUGAUGGGCUGUUCCUUAUUUUGGUUUUGGUUUGAGCCUAAUUAUUUUUAUUUGUAUUACAAUAGGGCCUAGAUCUUGAUUGGGCCCCCUUUGUGCAAGGGGUUGUAUAAAUACACAGAGAGAUUCUCUACCCUGAAGAGCUUUCAUUCUAAAUAGACAAGACAAAGGGAGGGAGAAAGGAAGUUUUUAUCCUCAUUUUACAGUUGGAGAGCUGAGGCUCAGAGAAAUUAAGUAACUUGCCCAAGGUCAUGCUGGAAGUUUGGUUAGAACUGUGAAUGGAAUUCAGAACUCCAGAGUUCCAGUCCAGUGCCUUAACCACAAGACCCUCCUUCCAAAAUGCUGGGAUAACGCUAAGGUAUUUGUUUAGAAGUCAAGCAGCAUUUUCUCACUUACAUUUAUUACCCAGCUUCUCUUUUAUCUCAGCAUAAUUGAAAACACAGCUUACAGCCUAACCCAGGGAAGUGGCUGUCUCAAGGUAUUGGUAACAGACCAUAAAGACUUCCACUUCCACAGCACUGCUUCCAUCCACCACAGAUCAAUAAGUGGCCAGAGAGGGACCCAAAGUUUGAACUUCGCAAAGUUCAUGGGUGACUGGAUCCAGGGUGUUCAUUUGGUCCAUGAUAUAGAGAGGUGGUGAAAUUUGAAUCAGCUUCCAAUUCUGAUAUUCUCCAAAUAUGAGAGAUGUUCAUAAUCAUUUGUAGUAGCUUUUGUUCAGGCCCACCUCUAGCAGUGACUGUAGUAAUGACUGAAAACAACAUCCAUCCAAUGCCUGUUUAAUAGCCUAUACGGUGAAUCAGUCCCAUUCCUACUGGACUAAAGUAUUGCUACAGUUUGCAUCUUUGCUGACAGUCUCAGAUGAGAAGGCCAAGAGACUAAAGUAUUCUCUCAUGCUUAGAGAUUGUCCCUCUGGGUCCAGGUUGAAGCACUUCCCUGGGGCAUGAUACAAAAUCUAGCACAGCCUUUGCCCAUUCUGCACUGGCUCUGACAAUACAGGACUUUACCACCCAGGGCAGUGAAAAAACCAAAAGCUUAGCUCUUAACCUGACCCUUCGCAUUAUGGAAGUAUUCUGAACAGCCACAGUAUAGUUUUAAAAGGGCAGAUUUUUAAGGAGUUCUGGAAGCUACAAAAACUGAGCAAAGUUUGUUACUUUGCUGUAAAUAAAGUCCUACUGAACCAUGCCCA
ensembl:lncRNA